UACGGAGGGUGCAAGCGUUAAUCGGAAUUACUGGGCGUAAAGCGCACGCAGGUGGCUGAGUCAGUCGAUUGUGAAAGCCCUGGGCUUAACCUGGGAAUUGCAGUCGAUACUACUCAGCUAGAGUAUGGGAGAGGGUAGUGGAAUUCCCGGUGUAGCGGUGAAAUGCGUAGAUAUCUGGAGGAAUACCGGUGGCGAAGGCGGCAUCCUGGACCAUUACUGACGCUGAGGCGCGAAAGCUAGGGGAGCAAACGGG
rnacentral:rRNA from 1 species